rnacentral:rRNA from 1 species
AUGGUGAUGAGAGGCGGCAAGAGCAGCGUCAAGACCAUGGCAGUGAUGCUUGCAGUUGUGGGUCUUGUGGCCCUGCAGCAAACACAGCGAGUGCAAGCUAGCGUGUGUUGCUGUUUAGACCUGGCGGUCCCUGUGUACUAUACAUGCCGCGGCUCUUCUGGUACCAUGUCACAGUGUUGCCCUACGUGUGGUGGCUAUGUAUCAGUCGGUGGAUGCAGGCCCCCAUAUGUCCCCAUAUCUGGCUACCGCACAACAGCCGUCAACUACUGCAAGCUGGGGUGCACGGCUUCCGUGUGCAACAAAUUAAUUCCAUCUGCAGUUGUUGGCAGUGGCAACGAAGGAAAAGAUGCCAUGGAACGUUGUACCAGUGGAUGUCAUGAUCUGUGCACCAAGAGCAGCACUGACAUUGCAAAAUUUUUUGUGAAUUAUUAUGCUGUUUCAUUCAAGCCACCUAGCAACUCAUCACCAAAUAGGAGCUGGAUCGCAUGGCCCUCCAAUCCCCCUCCCCCACACCCCAUCGCGCGCCCACACGCGGUGCGCGCGUCUUCCCCAGUCUUAGCAGGCAUGGAAAACCUUUGUUGGGAGUUCUUGCUCGAGCAACAUCACCCCUCCUCCCUCCCGCGUCGCCCCCGCGUGGGCAAAGGCCGGUCGGCGCCGGCGGCGGCGAGGCAUCCUCGUCCUCCCGCGCGGUGGGGUUGGCGCGGGUCAAACACCCCAGGCCGGGGCGUGGUGCUGACGCUGGGUGCCACGGCGGUUCGUCUGCAGCGACGGCGCGACGGGCGGCGUGGUGGCGGUGUGUGCCUGGAGCGGCGGCGGCGGCCGGUCAUCUUCUCCUCCAGCGGCAAGGGCUGCGGUCGGCACAGGUCGUGGAUGGUUUCCUCUUCUCCGGCGCGGGCUGGCGGAGGUGGCGGCGUGGCAGCGGUAUGCUCGACCCCCUCCUCUACGGCCGUCGUGGCGCAUGAAUCGGCUGCUGGUGGCGGCUCCUCUUGUGCUCUGGUGCGGCUCGGCUGGCCGGUGAAUGGCAAGGGCGCCGUGAGGGGGAGGCAGGGGUGCCUCCCGGACUCGCCGUCGCCGCGAUUUGGAGGUGCCAGAUCGGGUGUCUCGGGUGGCUGCAGCAUGGCUGGCCGCCGGCAUUUUCCCUGCCCAGAUCUGGCUGCCGGCCGCUCCUGCCAUAGGAGCUUGUUUGGGGUGGAAAGAGGGGGUCUUUACUGCCCCUUCACCGGUUGA